GCACAAGCGGUGGAUCAUGUUGUUUAAUUCGAUGAUACGCGAAGAACCUUACCAGGUCUUGACAUCCCCCGCGAUGCUUUAGAGAUAAAGCGGAGGUAUUCGGGGAGACAGGUGGUGCAUGGUUGUCGUCAGCUCGUGUCGUGAGAUGUUGGGUUAAGUCCCGCAACGAGCGCAACCCUAUUGCUAGUUACCAUCAUUAAGUUGGGGACUCUAGCGAGACUGCCAGUGAUAAGCUGGAGGAAGGUGGGGAUGACGUCAAAUCAUCAUGCCCCUUAUGACCUGGGCUACAAACGUGAUACAAUGGCUGGAACAAAGGGAUGCGAAGCAGUGAUGUGGAGCGAAACCCAUAAAAACAGUCUCAGUUCGGAUUGAAGUCUGCAACUCGACUUCAUGAAGUCGGAAUCGCUAGUAAUCGCGGAUCAGAACGCCGCGGUGAAUACGUUCUCGGGGUUU
rnacentral:rRNA from 1 species